rnacentral:rRNA from 1 species
UACGUAGGGCGCAAGCGUUAUCCGGAAUUAUUGGGCGUAAAGAGCUCGUAGGCGGUUUGUCACGUCGGGAGUGAAAACUCGGGGCUUAACCCCGAGCCUGCUUCCGAUACGGGCAGACUAGAGGUAUGCAGGGGAGAACGGAAUUCCUGGUGUAGCGGUGAAAUGCGCAGAUAUCAGGAGGAACACCGGUGGCGAAGGCGGUUCUCUGGGCAUUACCUGACGCUGAGGAGCGAAAGUGUGGGGAGCGAACAGG